rnacentral:rRNA from 1 species
GUGGGGAAUCUUGCGCAAUGGGCGAAAGCCUGACGCAGCCAUGCCGCGUGAAUGAUGAAGGUCUUAGGAUUGUAAAAUUCUUUCACCGGGGACGAUAAUGACGGUACCCGGCGAAGAAGCCCCGGCUAACUUCGUGCCAGCAGCCGCGGUAAUACGAAGGGGGCUAGCGUUGCUCGGAAUUACUGGGCGUAAAGGGCGCGUAGGCGGACAGUUUAGUCAGAGGUGAAAGCCCAGGGCUCAACCUUGGAAUUGCCUUUGAUACUGGCUGUCUUGAGUACGGGAGAGGUGAGUGGAACUCCGAGUGUAGAGGUGAAAUUCGUAGAUAUUCGGAAGAACACCAGUGGCGAAGGCGACUCACUGGCCCGUUACUGACGCUGAGGCGCGAAAGCGUGGGGAGCAAACAGGAUUAGAAACCCGAGUAGUCC